AUUGAACGCUGGCGGCAGGCCUAACACAUGCAAGUCGAGCGGAUGAAGGGAGCUUGCUCCUGGAUUCAGCGGCGGACGGGUGAGUAAUGCCUAGGAAUCUGCCUGGUAGUGGGGGAUAACGUCCGGAAACGGGCGCUAAUACCGCAUACGUCCUGAGGGAGAAAGUGGGGGAUCUUCGGACCUCACGCUAUCAGAUGAGCCUAGGUCGGAUUAGCUAGUUGGUGGGGUAAAGGCCUACCAAGGCGACGAUCCGUAACUGGUCUGAGAGGAUGAUCAGUCACACUGGAACUGAGACGGGCUCCAGGCUCCUACGGGAGGCAACAGUGGGGAAUAUUGGACAGUGGGCGAGAGCCUGAUCCAGCCGGGCCGCGUGUGUGGAAGAGGUCUUCGGAUUGUAAAGCACUUUAAGUUGGGGGAAAGGGCAGUAAGUUAAUACCUUGCUGUUUUGACGUUACCAACAGAAUAAGCACCGGCUAACUUCGUG
rnacentral:rRNA from 1 species